rnacentral:rRNA from 1 species
CACGUAGGGGGCAAGCGUUGUCCGGAAUUAUUGGGCGUAAAGAGCUCGUAGGCGGCUUGGCAAGUCGGAUGUGAAAACUCCAGGCUCAACCUGGAGCCGCCAUUCGAUACUGCUAUGGCUAGAGUCCGGUAGGGGAGUGUGGAAUUCCCGGUGUAGCGGUGAAAUGCGCAGAUAUCGGGAGGAACACCGAUGGCGAAGGCAGCACUCUGGGCCGGUACUGACGCUGAGGAGCGAAAGCGUGGGGAGCGAACAGG